UACGAAGGGGGCUAGCGUUGUUCGGAAUUACUGGGCGUAAAGAGCGCGCAGGCGGUCGAUCAAGUCGAGUGUGAAAGCCCCCGGCUCAACUGGGGAGGGUCAUUCGAUACUGAUCGACUCGAAGGCAGGAGAGGGUAGUGGAAUUCCCGGUGUAGUGGUGAAAUGCGUAGAUAUCGGGAGGAACACCAGUGGCGAAGGCGACUACCUGGCCUGUUCUUGACGCUGAGGAGCGAAAGCGUGGGGAGCGAACAGG
rnacentral:rRNA from 1 species